UCCCUGGUAGUAUAUCGGUUAGUACACGCGCCUGUCAUACUGGCCGACUAUGAAGGAAUUAAACGCGCGAAAGCUGGGUUCGACUCCCAGCCAGGGAG